AUCGAACGGACCUUUCGGGGUUAGUGGCGGACGGGUGAGUAACACGUGGGAACGUGCCUUUAGGUUCGGAAUAGCUCCUGGAAACGGGUGGUAAUGCCGAAUGUGCCCUUCGGGGGAAAGAUUUAUCGCCUUUAGAGCGGCCCGCGUCUGAUUAGCUAGUUGGUUGAGGUAACGGCUCACCAAGGCGACGAUCAGUAGCUGGUCUGAGAGGAUGGCCAGCCACAUUGGGACUGAGACACGGCCCAAACUCCUACGGGAGGCAGCAGUGGGGAAUCUUGCGCAAUGGGCGAAAGCCUGACGCAGCCAUGCCGCGUGAAUGAUGAAGGUCUUAGGAUUGUAAAAUUCUUUCACCGGGGACGAUAAUGACGGUACCCGGAGAAGAAGCCCCGGCUAACUUCGUGCCAGCAGCCGCGGUAAUACGAAGGGGGCUAGCGUUGCUCGGAAUUACUGGGCGUAAAGGGCGCGUAGGCGGACAUUUAAGUCAGGGGUGAAAUCCCAGAGCUCAACUCUGGAACUGCCUUUGAUACUGGGUGUCUUGAGUGUGAGAGAGGUAUGUGGAACUCCGAGUGUAGAGGUGAAAUUCGUAGAUAUUCGGAAGAACACCAGUGGCGAAGGCGACAUACUGGCUCAUUACUGACGCUGAGGCGCGAAAGCGUGGGGAGCAAACAGGAUUAGAUACCCUGGUAGUCCACGCCGUAAACGAUGAUUGCUAGUUGUCG
rnacentral:rRNA from 1 species